UUAGGUGUUUAUUUUAUUUUUAUAUUUUUUAUAUUUUAGUUGUUAAAUUUAUUUUGGUGUGUAAACUGUGGGGGGACAGUGAAAUAUUAUUAUAUAAAUUUAAUAAGUAAGAAUAUAAAUUACUUUUUGUAUCAAUGAAUUUUUAUUUACUGUUUUUUAAUUUUUUCUCGAAAAUAAAAGAUUUAAUUAUAAUAAUUUACUACGUUUCAAAGUAGCAUAAAAUAUUAAUUAGUGGUGAAAAGUUAGCCGGGUUUAUUGGUAUCUAGUUUUAAGUUAACUAUUUAUUUUUUUUAUAAUACUUUAAGUUUAUUUAAUUUAUAUAAAUGGAUUAUCAUUUAUUUUUAUUGUUUACAUUCCUAUUUAGGUUGAUUAAUUUAAUGGGGCUUAAGGUUGGCUUUAGUUCUUUUAUAUUUUAUUUGUUAUUAAAUUUAAAAUUUAAUACCAGGGGAAUUUAAAUUUAAAUACUUAAAUUUUUUCCUUUAUAUUAUAAUGAUUUUAUUAGUAAAAUUUAUUUUUUAUUUUAUGAUUUAUUUACUUUUGGUUGAUGAACUUUACAUUAUUUUGUGGGGCUGUUUAUCAAAAACAUUUUUUUAACUUUAUAUUUAAAGUAAAACCUGCCCACUGUGGAGAUAUAAAGGGCCGCGGUAUUUUGACCGUGCUAAGGUAGCAUAAUCAUUAGUCUUUUAAUUGGGGAAUGGUAUGAAUGGUUAAACCUAUAAAAUUUUUAUUUUCCGUGAUAUUUCAAUUUUAAUUUAAAGUUAAAAUUCUUUAAUUUUCUUUUAAGACGAUAAGACCCUUUAGAUUUUAAUUAAAUUAAGGUUAGGUUAAGUUGGGGGGCUUUAUUUAAUCUUAAUUUAGUUUAAUUGGGGCAAUUAUAUUAAAUUAGAAUUUAAUUAAGUUAUAUUUUAAAUAUUAUUUAAUCUUUAGAUGAAAAUUAAAAAGUUACCUAAGGGAUAACAGCGUAAUUUUACUGACGAGUUCAUAUUUAUAGUUAAGUUUGCGACCUCGAUGUUGAAUUAAGUUAAAUUUAGGGGGUAGCUUUUYUUAAGUUUUAGUCUGUUCGACUAAUAAAUUCUUACAUGAUUUGAGUUCAAAUCGGUGUGAGCCAGGUUGGUUUCUAUCUGAAAGUUUUGUUUAUUAUUUAUUAGUACGAAAGGACCAUUAAUUACUAAUUUUUUGC
rnacentral:rRNA from 1 species